rnacentral:rRNA from 1 species
UACAGAGGUGGCAAGCGUUGUUCGGAAUUACUGGGCGUAAAGGGCGCGUAGGCGGCCAUCUAAGUCAGACGUGAAAUCCCCCGGCUUAACCUGGGAACUGCGUCUGAUACUGGAAGGCUUGAGUAUGGGAGAGGGAUGUAGAAUUCCAGGUGUAGCGGUGAAAUGCGUAGAUAUCUGGAGGAAUACCGGUGGCGAAGGCGGCAUCCCGGACCAUUACUGACGCUGAGGCGCGAAAGCUAGGGGAGCAAACGGG